GGGGCUGUGCAGCAUGGAGAAGAGAAGGCUGCAAGGUGGCUUGAGAGCGGCCUUAGAACCCAGAGGUUUCAACCAAGACUGGUGAUUCUACUGUGCUGAGACAACCAGAGAGAAGAAAGGCUGCUCCUGGCCCAAGGCACCUCCAGCACUCCAUGCAACCAAACUCGAUGACAUGAGACAGAAUGUGCACGACAGAAGGAAACAUGAGGAGGGGGUGAGGCAGCUUGCCCCGUGACAUGAGAAGUAAGAAGAGAGCUGGAAUACAUAGCAAUGUGUAUG